ACCAAGCAAGAAGGAUACAGUGCUGAAGGCAGCAGUGGCCAGAGCAGGCUUGCACAUCUUAAAUGGAUCAUAGGUGCAAGCCUGGCUCUUUGUGCUGAAGCCCUCAACAGAGCCAAGGAAAAUGAAAAUCAAGAUUGCAAAAGCAACCAUGAAAACACCAACAUACUGAUAUUCAGUGAACAGGAAAGAGGUUGCCCCUGUCACAUCAACGACACUCAAACAAAUUUAGAAAGAAUCCAUCACCGGACCAAAUUAAAAACAAAUUUCAGAGAAUUCAGCAUGUUAUAUUCAUUCUUUAUAACUAAUCAGAACAUUGAUCUUUUAGGUUUACAAAAAUUUGUUCAUCUGU
rnacentral:lncRNA from 1 species